CCUACGGGAGGCUGCAGUGAGGAAUAUUGGUCAAUGGACGAGAGUCUGAACCAGCGACGUAGCGUGAGGGAUGACUGCCCUAUGGGUUGUAAACUUCUUUUAUAUGGGAAUAAAAUGUUCCACGUGUGGGAGUUUGUAUGUCCCAUUUGAAUACGGCACGGCUAACUACGUGCCAGCAGCCACCGUAAUACGGAGGUGCCGAGCGUUAUCCGGAUUUAUUGGGUUUAAAGGGAGCGUAGGUGGAUUGUUAAGUCAGUUGUGAAAGUUUGCGGCUCAACCGUAAAAUUGCAGUUGAAACUGGCAGUCUUGAGUACAGUAGAGGUGGGCGGAAUUCGUGGUGUAGCGGUGAAAUGCUUAGAUAUCACGAAGAACUCCGAUUGCGAAGGCAGCUCACUGGACUGCAAAUGACACUGAGGCUCGAAAGUGUGGGUAUCAAACAGGAUUAGAUACCCUUGUAGUC
rnacentral:rRNA from 1 species